UGGAAGAUGACUCAGUGGGUAAGAGUGCAUGCUCUGCAAGCACGAGAAUCUGAGUUCAAAUCCCUGGCAUCCAC
rnacentral:tRNA from 1 species